GGAAGCGGAUUUCGGGAGCGAAAGUCCCCUCGGGGUGAGUUCUCUCACGUCAUCCAAGGACAGAAAGUUGGAGACAGUGACCUUCAUAGACCUCCCAGGAGAAAUCCCUUCCCACUGACUUCAUACGAGGAAGAGCAACAAAUUCCCUGGAUAAUGCUACCAGCACACUUAACAUUGCACGUGAUGCUGUUGGACAGCGUGGGUCCAGAGCCGAGUCAGUUCCUGCUUUGGGAGCAGAGAGUCCUCCGUGUGGGGUGUCCUGCCCGCAGGACCUUGGGCAGCAUCUCCAGCAUCAUCCACCAGAUGGCAGUAGCUCCUCUCCAACACGACUUUGCCAAAGUCCCCAAGGGCUUGGAGUAACCCCAUCUGUCCAUGCUGCAGAUGAUCGUCCAGUUGGAAGUUUCAGCCGCAGCUGCUUCCUGCUUUGAAUCCCAGCCUCAUAGAGUUUAUUUAAGUAAGAUUUUUCUCAACCUGUGAAGCACAAUUCCGAAGGUACAGAAAAGAAGCAAUGUCUGCACCUCAUCCGCACAAUGUGGUCGAGUGCCAAGUGCCACAGAAUGUCCCGCAGAGGCCACGGGGGAGUGACCCCUGGGGAAACGGUGCUCCAAGCUUGAUGGACUGUAACGUCGUAGGAAAGAGAAAGAAGUGCCACAAAUGAGAAAAUACAAACGCGGUCUUGUCACGGAUGGAGCUAGUGUAACCCUGGGAGACAGGAGGCUGCAGAAGAGCCUCCUGGGGAGGGGUCGGAGGUACUGAGACGGCUGAAGAAUAGAAGGAAGAAGAUCCAGACGCAGAAAUGCCCUCUGGCUGAGUCAGCAAGGAGGGCACCACCAGUGAACUCCAGUUCCUGGCUGGUCCACGGGUGACGGCUGUGCUGUGGCGUCGGCGUGGGGACUUCUGACAGCUGUGCUGAUGAGGACGGUGUGUGGCUCUCAGGGACACUCACAAUGCACCGGGCUCUGCCCAAGUCCGAAGAAGACUGAUCACCGUGCACUCAGCCAUCACUACACUGCUGGGGGGGAGGGGAGGGUGGGGCAGGUA